CCCCAGACUCCUACGGGAGGCAGCAGUGGGGAAUAUUGCACAAUGGGGGGAACCCUGAUGCAGCGACGCCGCGUGGGUGAAGGAGCACCUCGGUGCGUAAAGCCCUAUCGGCAGGGAAGAAACAGACGGUACCUGACUAAGAAGCCCCGGCUAACUACGUGCCAGCAGCCGCGGUAAUACGUAGGGGGCAAGCGUUAUCCGGAUUCACUGGGUGUAAAGGGAGCGUAGACGGCGACGCAAGUCUGGAGUGAAACCCCGGGGCUCAACCCCGGGCAUGCAUUGGAAACUGGCGGGCUGGAGUGCCGGAGAGGUAAGCGGAAUUCCUAGUGUAGCGGUGAAAUGCGUAGAUAUUAGGAGGAACACCAGUGGCGAAGGCGGCUUACUGGACGGCAACUGACGCUGAGGCUCGAAAGCGUGGGGAGCAAACAGGAUUAGAUACCCGUGUA
rnacentral:rRNA from 1 species